GUAAUACGAAGGUGGCAAGCGUUGUUCGGAAUCACUGGGCUUAAAGCGCGCGUAGGCGGAAGAGAAAGUGUUUUGUGAAAGCCCCCGGCUUAACCGGGGAAUUGCUUAGCAAACUUCUCUUCUUGAGAUAAGUAGGGGUACAUGGAACUCUUGGUGGAGCGGUGGAAUGCGUAGAUAUCAAGAGGAACGCCAAUGGUGAAGACAGUGUACUGGGCUUAUUCUGACGCUGAGGUGCGAAAGCGUGGGGAGCGAACGGGAUUAGAUACCCCGGUAGUCCACGCCGUAAACGAUGUCUACUAGGUUGUGGGGGUUCUGACACCUUCACAGUCGAAGCGAAAGUGCUAAGUAGACCGCCUGGGGAGUACGGUCGCAAGGCUAAAACUCAAAGGAAUUGACGGGGGCUCACACAAGCGGUGGAGCAUGUGGAUUAAUUCGAAGCAACGCGCAGAACCUUACCUGGGUUUGACAUGCUUGGAUGCCGCCCUGGAAACAGGGUUGGCUGCCUUCGGGUGAAACUUGCACAGGUGCUGCAUGGCUGUCGUCAGCUCGUGUCGUGAGAUGUCGGGUUAAGUCCUUUAACGAGCGAAACCCUUGCCGUUAGUUACCAGCGGGUAAUGCCGGGAACUCUAGCGGGACUGCCGGUGUCAAACCGGAGGAAGGCGGGGAUGACGUCAAGUCCUCAUGGCCUUUAUGCCCAGGGCCUCACACGUGCUACAAUGGCGGCAACAAAGCGACGCGAGACCGUGAGGUGGAGCAAAUCGCAAAAAUGUCGCCCCAGUUCGGAUUGCAGGCUGGCAACUCGCCUGCAUGAAGUUGGAAUCGCUAGUAAUCGCGUAUCAGCUAUGACGCGGUGAAUGUGUUCCUGAGCCUUGUACACACCGCCCGUCAAGUGAUGGGAGUCGGGAGUACCCGAAGUCGGAUUGCUAACCAGUAAUGGAGGCGUCUGCCUACGGUAAGCUCGAUGACUGGCACUAAGUCGUAACAAGGUAGCCGUAGGGGAACCUGCGGCUGGAUCACCUCCUUU
rnacentral:rRNA from 1 species